GGAAUGCCCAGUACUGCCAGGACCACUGGAUGGCAGAAGACUUCACCUAGCCUCUGGCGGUUCAACGGGCCAGGGUGGCAUCACUUAAAGAGUGUCUGAUGGGCACCACCUACAGGCUAUUGGAGAAGAGCAUGCACCUGAAGCCCAGCUUCACCACUACUGAGAUGCAACCUCAGGCAAGUUGCUCCAGCAUCCUGCUGGAAAUGGCAGUAAUGAUGCUGUCCCCGGGCAAGGGGGCUGCAAGGCCAAUGGGAGCUGAUAGGUGCGAAGCCCCUUGCCCAGCACCUGGCACCUAGUAAACACUCAACAAUGACAACAGUGACCACUCUGCCCCUGGGCACCAGAGCCCACCAGUAAGAUGGAAUGGGUGAGGCUGCACACUCUGUCCCUCUGUGGGGUUCACGGGCAUAUAAACG
rnacentral:lncRNA from 1 species